CCUACGGGAGGCAGCAGUGGGGAAUAUUGGACAAUGGGCGAAAGCCUGAUCCAGCAAUGCCGCGUGAGUGAAGAAGGCCUUCGGGUUGUAAAGCUCUUUUACCCGGGAAGAUAAUGACUGUACCGGGAGAAUAAGCCCCGGCUAACUCCGUGCCAGCAGCCGCGGUAAUACGGAGGGGGCUAGCGUUGUUCGGAAUUACUGGGCGUAAAGCGUACGUAGGCGGCUUUCUAAGUCAGAGGUGAAAUCCCACGACUCAAUCGUGGAACUGCCUUUGAGACUGGAUCGCUUGAAGAUGGGAGAGGUAAGUGGAAUUCCGAGUGUAGAGGUGAAAUUCGUAGAUAUUCGGAAGAACACCAGUGGCGAAGGCGGCUUACUGGACCAUUCUUGACGCUGAGGUACGAAAGCGUGGGGAGCGAAACAGGAUUAGAUACCCUGGUAGUCCACGCCGUAAACGAUGAUAACUAGCUAGUCGGGGCUCUUAGAGCUUCGGUGGCGCAGCUAACGCAUUAAGUUAUCCGCCUGGGGAGUACGGCCGCAAGGUUAAACUCAAAGGAAUUGACGG
rnacentral:rRNA from 1 species